rnacentral:rRNA from 1 species
GUUUAUUAAAAMCAUGGCCUAUUGAUUAUGAUUUUAGGUCGAGCCUGCCCAAUGAUAUUUUGUAUUUAAUGGCCGCAGUAUCUUGACUGUGCAAAGGUAGCAUAAUCAUUAGUUUUUUAAUUGAAAGCUUGUAUGAAGGGUUUAAUGAAAAAAUAGCUGUCUCUGUUUAAAGUUUAAAAAUUUAUUUUUAAGUAAAAAAGCUUAGAUAAUAAUAGAAGACGAGAAGACCCUAUAGAGUUUUAUAAAUAUGUAGGUAUAUUGAAUUUUAGGAUUAUAAGCUUAUAAAUGUAUAUUUAUUUGGUUGGGGUGAUUAAAAAAUUUAGUUAACUUUUUUUGUAUAAGAACAUCAAUGUAUGAUUUAGUGAUCCUUAAAUAAAGAUUAAAAGAAGAAAUUACCUUAGGGAUAACAGCGUAAUUUUUUUUAGAGUUCUUAUCAAAAAAAAAGUUUGCGACCUCGAUGUUGGAUUAAAGGAAAUUAUUGGUGAAGAAGCUAAUAAAUUAGGUCUGUUCGACCUUUAAAACUUUACAUGACUGRGUUUAAACCGGKAUAAGCCAGG